GCGGGUGUAACUCAGUGGUAGAGUGUUUGCCUAGCAGGCACCAGGCCCUGGGUUCAAUACCCAGCACUGCCA
rnacentral:tRNA from 1 species